rnacentral:rRNA from 1 species
AUUGAACGCUGGCGGCAGGCCUAACACAUGCAAGUCGAGCGGUAACAGGGAUAGCUUGCUAUCUGCUGACGAGCGGCGGACGGGUGCGUAACGCGUAGGAAUUUGCCCGAUAGUGGGGGAUAGCCCGGAGAAAUUCGGAUUAAUACCGCAUACCUUCUACGGAAGAAAGCAGGGGAUCUUCGGACCUUGCGCUAUCGGAUGAGCCUGCGUCGGAUUAGCUAGUUGGUGGGGUAAAUGCCUACCAAGGCGACGAUCCGUAGCUGGUCUGAGAGGAUGAUCAGCCACACUGGGACUGAGACACGGCCCAGACUCCUACGGGAGGCAGCAGUGGGGAAUAUUGCACAAUGGGCGCAAGCCUGAUGCAGCCAUGCCGCGUGUGUGAAGAAGGCCCUAGGGUUGUAAAGCACUUUCAGCGAGGAGGAAGGGUAUCUUGCUAAUAUCAAGAUGCAUUGACGUUACUCGCAGAAGAAGCACCGGCUAACUCCGUGCCAGCAGCCGCGGUAAUA